GCAGAGGGCGGCGUCAGAGGGGCACGGCUGCUUCCCGUGGGGAUGUCCCCUCCGAGCUGGAGUGUCCCCUCCGGGCAGAGGGCUGCGGCAGAACAAGGAUUAACCCGGGAAAACGCAAUCCCAAAGAUCCUGGUGGCCUCGGGAGGGACACUCCUCGGGAGAUCCCAGCAGGUGCGUCCCCACUCUGUCACACACCUGUGGCCUCGGCUCCUCCUGAGGUCCCACGCUGUGUCCAGGGGCAGAGCCACAAAGCCAGCCGGCCCCGAGAGUGGCACUGGGGACCCCGGUGUGCCCACUUUGGUGGCACUUUGGUGUGGCCGCGAGUUGUCUUUGUUUUCCUGGCGAGGCGGCUCCUCCUGACCCGUAUAUCCUUCCCAGCACUCGGAAUGCAGCCCAGCAGAGAGCAGCCCAGCAGAGAGCAGCCCAGCAGAGGAGCCCCGAUGCCACGGGGCGCUGCCAGCCGUCCCCUCAGGUGGCACCGCUGCCCUGAGCCCCGGUGCCACCCCCUGCAGCAGCCGGGGAGGGGCGCAGGCAGGACAAACCCCGCCAUCCCUCGCUCAGAUGCUCGUCUGCAGGUCGCCGUUGAGCAGGGUCCUCUGCGUCUCCGUGGUCUCGUUGAGGCGGGACUUGUCCUGCUUGCUGUCGCUGCGGUCGGCCUCGUCCAUGCCGCUGACCUUGACCAGGCACAGCACGUUCUGAAAGCUCUUCUUGAAGUUGUCGGAGAGGAAGGCGUAGAGGAUGGGGUUGGCACAGCUGUUGGCGUAGCUCAGCACCACCACGAAGUCGAACAUGCCCUUGAGGACGGGCGUGGGCACGAUCAUGACGGACACGGAGGAGACGUUGAAGAUGUAGAAGGGGAGCCAGCAGAAGAUGAAGACGGCCACCACGAUGGACACCAUCCUGGUGACUUUCUUCUCGGACUUUUUCCUCUUGGACGAGCCCACCCUGAUGCCCGAGGACUUGACUUUGAUGAUGAUGAACAGGUAGCAAAGGCAGAUGAUGGUGAGAGGCACCAGGAAGCCCAGGAUGAAGGCGUAGAUGAUGAACCCCGUGUACCAGGCGCCCGACUCUCCCGGCCAGAUGAUGGUGCAGCUACUCCUGCCGUGGUUGUGCUGCACGCCGGCGUAAAUCAUGAUGGGCAUGAUCACCAGCAGGGAGACGCCCCAGACGGCCACGUUGAUCAUUUUGGCUGUCCUGGGCCGCCUCCACUUGGCGGAUUUGAUGGGAUGCACCACGGCCAGGUAGCGGUCGACGCUCAUCACCGUCAGGCAGAAGAUGCUGGUGAACUGGUUGAUGCCGUCCACGGUCAUGACGAUCCUGCAGAGGGCUUUGCCGAAGGGCCAGUGCACCAGGGCCACCUGCAUGGCCAGGAAGGGCAGGCCCAGCAUGAAGAGCUCGUCGGCGAUGGCCAGGUUGAGGAUGUAGAUGUUGGUGAUGGUUUUCAUCUUGGCGUAGCGCAGGAUGACGUAGAUGACCAGCGUGUUGCCGCACAGCCCCACGAUGCACACCACGAAGUAGAUGAAGGCCAGGAUGAUCCCGGGGCUGGGCCCAGGGCUGCAGGCACUGCUGGGCACUCUGCUCACCUGGGCCCUGACAGCAGCAGGGUCAGCGCUGGUGUUCGUGUUCUCCAGAGGCCAGAGGCGGAUCCUGGAUGGGAGCCUGGGCUUUGCUGCAGGGGUGAGUGCAGCCUCCUCCUCCUCCUCCUCCUCCUCCUCCUCCCCGUGCUCUCUGCANCUGUGACACUGGGACAGACAGGGCUGUGACAUUGGGACAGGCAGGAAUGUGACACUGACACAGGGCUGUGACACUGGAGGGGACAGGCAGAGCUGUGACAUUGAAGGGACAGGGCUGUGACACUGACACAGGCAGGGCUGUGACACUGAAUUGUCCCCGCACACAGAAGUGACACUUCUGGGAUCCGGGGGUGGCAGUUGAUUUUGCUGAUGCUCCUGCACAGAGCCACCACAGCUGUCCCCAUUGCCACCCACACGUCCCCAGGCAGGGCCAUCACUGCCAGCCACCCCCAGCCUGGUGUGGCAUGUCACCGUAUCCCCAGCCAGGUCCCAGCUGUCCCCAGCCCUGCCAGCACGCUGUCACAGCAUCACCCCAGAUCCCCAAAGUGUCCCCGUGUCCCUCCCAGCUGGCACCUGGCCCUGCAGCUAAUGGGGGAUGCAGCAAUUAUGAGGCCGGAUUGAUUAAAUCCUAAUUAAAUCCUAAAUCAAGGAGCUUUCAAACGGCCCUGACCUUUCCCAGCUGGGGCUGGGCAGGGGCUGUGGCACAGGAUGUGUCCUUCUGUCCUUCUGCCACCCCUGCUCCGUGUGGCAUGGCACAGGAGGGGACACCGGGUGCUGUGACUGGGGACAAUCAGUGACAAUGCCACCCCUGUCCCCUGGGAUUGUGAUUUGGGGGGCAUCAGGAGGAAUUCCUGCAUGGACAGGGCUGGGAAGCAUCGGGAGGAGCUGCCCAGGGAGGGCUCAGUGCCCAUCCCCGGGGGUGGCACCUUGGGGACAGAGUGGCACCCGGUGACCCCAGAAAUGUCAAUAAAUCCGGGAUUCUGUGGCA
rnacentral:lncRNA from 1 species